GACAGAGGGUGCAAACGUUGUUCGGAAUUACUGGGCGUAAAGCGCGUGUAGGCGGCUCGGCAAGUCGGAUGUGAAAGCCCAGGGCUCAACCCUGGAAGUGCACUCGAAACUCCCGAGCUGGAGUCCCGGAGAGGAAGGCGGAAUUCUCGGUGUAGAGGUGAAAUUCGUAGAUAUCGAGAGGAACACCUGUGGCGAAGGCGGCCUUCUGGACGGUGACUGACGCUGAGACGCGAAAGCGUGGGGAGCAAACAGG
rnacentral:rRNA from 1 species